rnacentral:tRNA from 1 species
CGGGGUGUGGCUCAGGUGGUAGAGCACCACGUUAGGGACGUGGGGGCCGCAAGUUCGAAUCUUGUCACUCCGA